rnacentral:rRNA from 1 species
CAGCAGCCACGGUAAUACGGAGGGGGCUAGCGUUGUUCGGAUUUACUGGGCGUAAAGGGCGCGUAGGCGGACAGUUAAGUUGGGGGUGAAAGCCCGGGGCUCAACCUCGGAAUUGCCUUCAAUACUGGCUGUCUUGAGUGUGAGAGAGGUGUGUGGAACUCCGAGUGUAGAGGUGAAAUUCGUAGAUAUUCGGAAGAACACCAGUGGCGAAGGCGACACACUGGCUCACUACUGACGCUGAGGCGCGAAAGCGUGGGGAGCAAACAGGAUUAGAUACCCCAGUAGUCCCUGUCUCUUAUAC